AUUAACAUUCUAUUUAUUAUUACUUAUUGUUAACAUUCUAUUUAAUAUUAUUGUCAUUUUAUAUGUAGAAUAACAUUAAAGAAAAUAUGUUAGUCUUUCUGUACACAUUGUUUAGCGAGAUGGUACAUUGUGCAGCAGAAGGAUGCCAAAACACUUCCAAAUUAGGUGUAAAAAUGAAUAAAUUACCAAAAGAAAUUGAUCGUCAAGAAAAAUGGAUACAAAAUGCCAAGUUGGAAAAUAAAAGAAUGAAAGAAAGAAAUACUUGAAAAAUUUACGAUACUGGAAACUCAAUACGAAACCCUAUUAAAAGGACAGGAAACAAUAAAUGUGCAGAUGAAGGAAAUAUUUAAAAAAUUGUCAGAGAAUACAACCGAGAUCUCUAAAACAUUUUAUGAGCCUCUCGAUGGUUUUCCAUUAAAAUCAUUGGAAGAUUUUUAUAACCUUGAGAGUGAGACUUAAGAAAAUAAACGAACGCAACCAAUUGUGUUAUCAUUUACAAUCUUUAGGAGGCGCGAAGUUGAGAGAAUUUUUACAUACUUCUGUAAAACACAUUAUGACUGAUGAAUUGGUUAAUCAGUUCACGUGGUUCGGUGGGAUUGGAACUGAAAAGUUUGGCGACACAAAAAUGUCUACCUUAUUAUACAGGAAACAGCUACUGCUUUUCCUUCCUCACCGCACAGCGCCGCGCCUACAGCCACGGCUGCCUA